UAUGAAGAAGGCCUUCAGGUUGUAAAGUACUUGCAGCGGGGAGGAAGGGAGUAAAGUUAAUACCUUGGCUCAUUGACGUUACCCGAAGAAGAAGCACCGGCUAACUCCGUGCCAGCAGCCGCGGUAAUACGGAGGGUGCAAGCGUUAAUCGGAAUUACUGGGCGUAAAGCACACGCAGGCGGUUUGUUAAGUCAGAUGUGAAAUCCCCGAGCUCAACCUGGGAACUGAAUCUGA
rnacentral:rRNA from 1 species